UACAGAGGUCCCAAGCGUUGUUCGGAUUCACUGGGCGUAAAGGGUGCGUAGGCGGUCGGGUAAGUCUGAUGUGAAAUCUCACAGCUUAACUGUGAAACUGCAUUGGAUACUAUCCGACUCGAGGAAUGGAGGGGAGACUGGAAUUCUCGGUGUAGCAGUGAAAUGCGUAGAUAUCGAGAGGAACACCAGUGGCGAAGGCGAGUCUCUGGACAUUUCCUGACGCUGAGGCACGAAAGCCAGGGGAGCAAACGGA
rnacentral:rRNA from 1 species